rnacentral:lncRNA from 1 species
AAGAGAUUUCCCCUUCUCUGUUUCAGAUAUGAUCCCAGGGGACUGCUAUUGUCAUCUUGACCCUGUAAAGACAGUGAGGCUGAGGACAAGGCCCCCCGACCAAGAGGGCAGCGCUAAGAGAAGGAGACAGAGCCAGAUACUGCAGUGUCUACAACCACCUGCAGGAUGCAUAUUGGAGCUUUACAUAGAGUAGAGAAACUCUAAGUUGGCACGAUUACACUCCAAGGAUUUGAAAGGCUGAUGAAGAAAAGCAAGCUUGGAGACACAUCAUUGUGUUCUGUCACACCAACCAGCCUGCACCAGAGACACAGGAAUCUUGAUCUUCUGGCAGAAAACUCUUCCAAAACAUUCCUAUGUGACACUGCUCAUGUAUAGGUGCUCCAAACCAAAUGUCCAGUUGCUUCCACCAUUGUGCAAAAAUGGGAGACCCUGCCGAGCAGCAGAUGGCCCUCAGCACGGCUGACACUCAGGCCAGGCCCCAGGUGGCAGCUCUCAGAACACACUGUCCAGCUAAACCCUGCACAGACUGGCCGUUGAAAAUACCUGGUGUUCACAUUCCCCAAAAGUUGGGCAAAUGACAGGGUCACCCAGUGCACUUCAUGGGGUCAGUGGGGAGAACCAGCAUUUCAGCACAAGUUCACAAAUCACUGGGUCCCCCUUGUCAAACACUGCAAAUAUGUAGCAUGCUAAGAAAAAUCUCCUUACCUCUCAGACUCUGUAUCACUCAGUUCAUCUGAGUUGCUACAAUGGACAAUAAAAUCUAAUAAGUUAAAAUGAGGUAUGGAAUGCUCAGGAGAAAAACAACAAGGACUAGUACUCCUCAUCUGAGUAAAUAAUUUCUCUCACAGGGUUAAUUUUAGCUUUGCAAGUUUUUUAUUUGAGAUUAUAUUUUAA